UAGUCCAGGAAUGGUCAUGAUCUG
rnacentral:piRNA from 1 species